rnacentral:rRNA from 1 species
CAGUCGCCGCGGUAAUACGGAGGGUGCAAGCGUUAAUCGGAAUUACUGGGCGUAAAGCGCACGCAGGCGGUCUGUUAAGUCAGAUGUGAAAUCCCCGGGCUCAACCCGGGAACUGCAUUUGAAACUGGCAGGCUUGAGUCUUGUAGAGGGGGGUAGAAUUCCAGGUGUAGCGGUGAAAUGCGUAGAGAUCUGGAGGAAUACCGGUGGCGAAGGCGGCCCCCUGGACAAAGACUGACGCUCAGGUGCGAAAGCGUGGGGAGCAAACAGGAUUAGAUACCCCGGUAGUCCCUGUCUCUUAUAC